AAAAAGCAAACAAAAAUAGACGUAUCUGAAACUUUUCCAAAUCAGAAAGAAAGAAAAAGGCACUCUGGAUUAUUUAGGCCACUGUUCCCCUGGACUAAAUGGAAAAUUGAGAGCAGAGUAUAAGAAGAGAGAAUGCAUAUAAAUCAUAUAAAGGGUGUCGCAGGGACACAAAUGAUACAAACUAUUUCUUCCGAUGGGCCUUGAGGAGACAAGUUCAGCAGCACUGAUCCUGGUUAGGGCUCAAUGGAGGUCGUGUUUCGGUUUAAGGUGACAGGAGCUUCCUUCCCACUUUCUUAUGAUCACUCUGCCCCAGCUCCAGGUCCCUAAUAUUGGUUGGGAGGCUUACACCAGGAAAUAGUGUGAAAGCCCCCCAUGGCUUCUUGGGCUUCUCUAAGCCAGUGGUUCUCAAAGUGAGGUCCCCGGACCAGCACUGUCAGCAUCUCUUGGGAGGCUGUCAGAAAUGCAAAUUCUCAGGCUCCAUCCCAGACCUACUGGGUGAGUCUCAAAGUUUUAGUGGGCAUUAGAAUCGUUUAGAGAGUUUGUUAGAACACAGAUUGCUGGGGCCCCACCCCCAGAGUUUCUGAUCAACAGGUCUGGGGUGGGGGCCGAGAAGUUGCAUUUCUAACAAGCUCCCAGGUGACGCUGAUGCUGCUGGUCUAAUGAGUACACUUGGAGUAUCGUGGCUCAAGGUUUCUUCCUCCAACAAAGGACAAUGGAUCCCACAGAAGUUGGUUCGUACCCGCAGGGUCUCCCCACCUCCUGGCACAGAAAGAGCUCGCUGAGAAGCUAUUUUGAAGGGCCCAGGGAAAAACAAGCAUUUGCAGAAUGCUGCCUGCACUUGGAGCAGAUAAACUUCAAACAGUGUGAGUUGGGAGAGGAUAUGAUAAUUUUUUUUUAAAAAAAAAAGCAAAGAUGGCCUUGAAAGAGGCAAAAUUGUCUCUCUUUCAAGAAUCUCAGGCCAAAAGACUAAAAACAAAUGACCUUUUCACUUUUCUCUCCCAGCUACAGAACAAAAUGUUAUUUUAACCCUGGCAAUAAAUCCUCCCCCCACCACCGAUGAGGCCUAGCCUGCAGAGUGCUUCUCAUCCUUGGCUACACAGGAUAAUCAACUGAGGAGUAUUUGGAAAUACCUAAGCCUGGACCACACCCUUGGAGACUGAUUUGAUUUGACAGGAGGUGGGACCCCAGGUAAUUCGAAUGUGCAGUCAGGGCUGAGAUCUGCUGGUUGGGCUUGUCAGAUUAGUUUCUAAAUUAGUUUCCUGAAUGAGAUGUUCACCUCUGAGCUCUUGCACUUCGCACGUCGGUAAACACAGGGCCAGCUCUGACCUCAACAAGCAGACCAGCGAGAAAAAGAUAAUAAUGCAAGGGAGAGUCUUAUUUUUUGACAGUAAUUUGUAUCAGAAUAUUCCUACCCUUCUCCUCCUCAUUCCCUCUGCUCUCCAACACCUCGACGGGGUUGGGGAGGGCGGGGCUUGGGGGGGCGGUGAUCAAAACAAAGAAAUAGUUGAUUUUCACAGAAAACAGGAAAUAGCUCACCAUGAUAUAAGACAGGUGAAAAAGGAACCCGGAUGUGUGAAAGAUAAAAUCUAGAGAACAUUUAUCUAAAAAAUAAAAUGUCAUCAAUCAAAAACAACGCUAACGAAGUAUUAUUUUAAAGCCAUGAGACUCCUGUUGUUUGUACUUCUAAUGUUCAAGAUUCAAUUGCCAUGUUACUAGAGGGCAGGGUGGUUUGCCGAAUCUGGAGCCCCCUAGUGAGAUGGGGGAGAAUCACAGGAGAUCAGAGGAGAGCACAGAAGCAGAGUAAGGAGCAGCUGGGGGCAGAGAGGAGCUGAAGAAACGGACCUGCUUUAACCACAACUGAAAGACCCAGAACUCACUAGGCCCAAAGAAGAGAAACCCAGCUGCCUGCUGCCACAUGGUGAGCCCAAGGUGCAGGCGGCUGCAGGCCUCAGCCUGGGGAGAGGACUGUAUCAGGGGCCAGCCGAGGCCGUGUGAAGUUCCCACGCUCAACUUUGAUGGCCCAGGGUUUCUCCAGUUCAGAUUCUGGGCACCGACGUGGCACCACUCAUCAAGCCAUGCUGAGGCGGCGUCCCACAUAGUGCAACUGGAAGGACCAACAACUCAAAAUAUGAAACUAUGUACGGGGUGCUUUGGGGAGAAAAAGGAAAAAAUAAAAUCUUAAAAAAAAAAA